rnacentral:rRNA from 1 species
CACGUAGGGCGCAAGCGUUGUCCGGAAUUAUUGGGCGUAAAGAGCUCGUAGGCGGUCUGUUGCGUCCGCUGUGAAAACCCGGGGCUUAACCCCGAGCCUGCAGUGGAUACGGGCAGACUAGAGGUAGGUAGGGGAGAAUGGAAUUCCCGGUGUAGCGGUGAAAUGCGCAGAUAUCGGGAGGAACACCGGUGGCGAAGGCGGUUCUCUGGGACGGUACUGACGCUGAGACGCGAAAGCGUGGGGAGCGAACAGG